GGAUGCGGUCCUGGCUCUCAGAGGCAAUGGGAGGUUUGCCAUCGCCGGGCCGGGGCCAAGCGCUCAGCCAGGAGAUCAAAGUAACCUACAGGAGUCCAAGCUGUUGACUGUCCCCCAUUGUGCCAUACAAAUGCCAGAAGUCACAGCAUCACUCUGAGACAGACACGGUGGUAAAAAUGAGACCUGUACCUU